rnacentral:rRNA from 1 species
GACGAACGCUGGCGGCGUGCUUAACACAUGCAAGUCGAACGGAAAGGCCCUGCUUUUGUGGGGUGCUCGAUUGGCGAACGGGUGAGUAACACGUGAGUAACCUGCCCUUGACUUUGGGAUAACUUCAGGAAACUGGGGCUAAUACCGGAUAGGAGCUCCUGCUGCAUGGGGGGGGUUGGAAAGUUUCGGCGGUGGGGGAUGGACUCGAGGGUUAUCAGCUUGUUGGUGGGGUAGUGGCUUACCAAGGCUUUGACGGGUAGCCUGCCUUGGAGGGUGACCGGCCACAUUGGGACUGAGAUACGGACCAGUCUCCUACGGGCGGCAGCAGUGGGAAAUAUUGCACAAUGGGCGGAAGCCUGAUGCAGCAACGCCGCGUGCGGGAUGACGGCCUUCUGGUUGUAAACCGCUUUCGACUGUGACGAAGCGUGAGUGACGGUAAUGGGUAAAGAAGCACCGGCUAACUACGUG